rnacentral:lncRNA from 1 species
CAUAACUGUGAGGCCUCUCCAGCUACGUGGAGCUGUGAGUCCAUUAAACCUCUUUUUCUUUAUAAAUUACCCAGUCUCGUGUAUGUCUUUAUCAGCCAUGUGAAAAGGCCUAAUACACCAUUCUGGUCAUUUAUAAUUUUUAUUUAUGCUUUUAUUUAUAAUUUUUAAGAUCCACUCAGUCAACCUACAGUCAUGAGAAAUGAUAAGCUAUUAUCGUUUGAGCCAUGAUAAGUUUUGUGGUGGUUCGUUUUGUAGUAAUUAGAUACCUGAUACCUCAGGUUAUAGUCGUAACUUUUUAAAAAAUGGAGUAAACAAGUUUGAUUAUUCUGUUUGUGUAUAUUGGGCACUGAAUAGUUAUUUCCCAAACUGUAAUCUGUUCUUAAAAAAUAAUGGCUUACUGCAUUAAGGAUUUUUCCAAAGAAUGUCCUAUAAUAGGCAAUUUGAAGAGAGAGAUUCCAGAAGGCGUUGAGUCCUGGCAGUGUUCCUGUGGAAUAAGUCUGCAGCAUCCCAAGGUGAUUGCUUUUUGGUAUCUUAAAAGUAAAACAGCUUCAUUCCUUGUGUCCAGAAACAUUUCCCCGCAAGGACUACAAAAGCCUUACAAAACAUCAUCAUCAUUCUCACAGUAUUUUUAGAAUCAAGUAGGAAGGAUCCUGAUGGAUGUCUCAAAUGUUUCUAGACCUUGAUAAAAGUACUUGAGCCUGUCAAUAGCCUAGACGUUUUAAAAGCUGCUUAUGCUUUUUAUUUCUUGGGAAAUGCUUGUUUUGAGUUGUGUGUCUUGUUUUAAGCCAAACAAGUGUCAUCUGUGGUUGUGCUGCUAGUACAUUUCUGCUUGACCUCACAAUAAAAUACUGAUUUUGAAAGCACCAGCCUGUCUUUUUACCGCAGAGGUUGUCUUGGUCUGUCUUUAUGAUCGUGGGCAGCUUAGGGACAAGCAAGGUCCUGGCACCCAUGGUUGAGUGAGUGGACCACAUACUAACAUUGUAUGUUGCUGCCUUGCUCCUGAAAUUUGUCAUUCCAUUUCGAUGGUGCCUGUGUGUUACCUGUGUAUGACUGAAGUACAUAUUCGUUAUCUGCGUGAGACAGUACAGAUUGGUGUAUAGUAUUUUACAGCCACUUCAUUAUAUGCUAUUUCCGUGUACUGGCAAAAAAGAGAAUAAAACUUCCUAGGAUAUAAGUACCUACUGCUGUUUUGGUGCAUGUCCAGUUAGGCUUUUCUCUUUUUAUUUGUUUGUGUACCUGUAACUCCAUAUAAGCAUAUAUAAUCAUGUUACAUAUGUUUAAAAGGCG